GAUGAACGCUGGCGGCGUGCCUAAUACAUGCAAGUCGAGCGAACAGACAAGGAGCUUGCUCCUUUGACGUUAGCGGCGGACGGGUGAGUAACACGUGGGUAACCUACCUAUAAGACUGGGAUAACUUCGGGAAACCGGAGCUAAUACCGGAUAAUAUUUCGAACCGCAUGGUUCGACAGUGAAAGAUGGUUUUUGCUAUCACUUAUAGAUGGACCCGCGCCGUAUUAGCUAGUUGGUAAGGUAACGGCUUACCAAGGCGACGAUACGUAGCCGACCUGAGAGGGUGAUCGGCCACACUGGAACUGAGACACGGUCCAGACUCCUACGGGAGGCAGCAGUAGGGAAUCUUCCGCAAUGGGCGAAAGCCUGACGGAGCAACGCCGCGUGAGUGAUGAAGGUCUUCGGAUCGUAAAACUCUGUUAUUAGGGAAGAACAUACGUGUAAGUAACUGUGCACGUCUUGACGGUACCUAAUCAGAAAGCCACGGCUAACUACGUGCCAGCAGCCGCGGUAAUACGUAGGUGGCAAGCGUUAUCCGGAAUUAUUGGGCGUAAAGCGCGCGUAGGCGGUUUUUUAAGUCUGAUGUGAAAGCCCACGGCUCAACCGUGGAGGGUCAUUGGAAACUGGAAAACUUGAGUGCAGAAGAGGAAAGUGGAAUUCCAUGUGUAGCGGUGAAAUGCGCAGAGAUAUGGAGGAACACCAGUGGCGAAGGCGACUUUCUGGUCUGUAACUGACGCUGAUGUGCGAAAGCGUGGGGAUCAAACAGGAUUAGAUACCCUGGUAGUCCACGCCGUAAACGAUGAGUGCUAAGUGUUAGGGGGUUUCCGCCCCUUAGCGCUGCAGCUAACGCAUUAAGCACUCCGCCUGGGGAGUACGACCGCAAGGUUGAAACUCAAAGGAAUUGACGGGGACCCGCACAAGCGGUGGAGCAUGUGGUUUAAUUCGAAGCAACGCGAAGAACCUUACCAAAUCUUGACAUCCUUUGACAACUCUAGAGAUAGAGCCUUCCCCUUCGGGGGACAAAGUGACAGGUGGUGCAUGGUUGUCGUCAGCUCGUGUCGUGAGAUGUUGGGUUAAGUCCCGCAACGAGCACAACCCUUAAGCUUAGUUGCCAUCAUUAAGUUGGGCACUCUAAGUUGACUGCCGGUGACAAACCGGAGGAAGGUGGGGAUGACGUCAAAUCAUCAUGCCCCUUAUGAUUUGGGCUACACACGUGCUACAAUGGACAAUACAAAGGGCAGCGAAACCGCGAGGUCAAGCAAAUCCCAUAAAGUUGUUCUCAGUUCGGAUUGUAGUCUGCAACUCGACUACAUGAAGCUGGAAUCGCUAGUAAUCGUAGAUCAGCAUGCUACGGUGAAUACGUUCCCGGGUCUUGUACACACCGCCCGUCACACCACGAGAGUUUGUAACACCCGAAGCCGGUGGAGUAACCAUUUGGAGCUAGCCGUCGAAGGUGGGACAAAUGAUUUGGGGUGAAGUCGUAACAAGGUAGCCGUAUCGGAAGG
rnacentral:rRNA from 1 species